rnacentral:rRNA from 1 species
CGCGUGGGAACAUACCCUUCUCUAAGGAAUAGCCACUGGAAACGGUGAGUAAUACCUUAUACGCCCUUCGGGGAAGGAUUUAUCGGAGAAGGAUUGGCCCGCGUUAGAUUAGAUAGUUGGUGGGGUAAGUGGCCUACCAAGUCUACGAUCUAUAGCUGGUUUGAGAGGAUGAUCAGCAACACUGGGACUGAGACACGGCCCAGACUCCUACGGGAGGCAGCAGUGGGGAAUCUUAGACAAUGGGGGAAACCCUGAUCUAGCGAUGCCGCGUGUGUGACGAAGGCCUUAGGGUCGUAAAGC